GAUGAACGCUGGCGGCGUGCUUAACACAUGCAAGUCGAACGAACCUUCGGGUUAGUGGCGGACGGGUGAGUAACGCGUGGGAAUCUGCCCUCAGGAGGGGGAUAACGGUUGGAAACGGCCGCUAAUACCCCAUAUGCCGAGAGGUGAAAUGAAUUUCGCCUGAGGAUGAGCCCGCGUCUGAUUAGCUAGUUGGUGAGGUAAGAGCUCACCAAGGCAUCGAUCAGUAGCUGGUCUGAGAGGAUGAUCAGCCACACUGGGACUGAGACACGGCCCAGACUCCUACGGGAGGCAGCAGUGGGGAAUUUUCCGCAAUGGGCGAAAGCCUGACGGAGCAACGCCGCGUGAGGGAUGAAGGCCUCUGGGCUGUAAACCUCUUUUCUCAAGGAAGAAGAUCUGACGGUACUUGAGGAAUAAGCCACGGCUAAUUCCGUGCCAGCCGCCGCAGUAAU
rnacentral:rRNA from 1 species